GGUUGUGUGGUCUAGUGGUAUGAUUCUCGCUUAGGGUGCGGGAGGUCCUGGGUUCGAUCCCCAGCAUAGCCC
rnacentral:tRNA from 1 species